rnacentral:rRNA from 2 species
GGAUGCGAUCAUACCAGCACUAAAGCAUCGGAUCCCAUCAGAACUCCGAAGUGAAGCAUGCUUGGCCGAGAGUAGUACUAGGAUGGGUGACCUCCUGGGAAGUCUUCGUGUUGCAUUCC